rnacentral:piRNA from 1 species
UGAAAGAUGCUAUUGUCCGUGCUGGU